AUUGAACGCUGGCGGCAUGCCUUACACAUGCAAGUCGAACGGCAGCACGGGAGCAAUCCUGGUGGCGAGUGGCGAACGGGUGAGUAAUAUAUCGGAACGUGCCCAGUCGUGGGGGAUAACGUAGCGAAAGCUACGCUAAUACCGCAUACGAUCUAUGGAUGAAAGCGGGGGAUCGCAAGACCUCGCGCGAUUGGAGCGGCCGAUAUCAGAUUAGGUUGUUGGUGGGGUAAAAGCUCACCAAGCCUGCGAUCUGUAGCUGGUCUGAGAGGACGACCAGCCACACUGGAACUGAGACACGGUCCAGACUCCUACGGGAGGCAGCAGUGGGGAAUUUUGGACAAUGGGCGCAAGCCUGAUCCAGCAAUGCCGCGUGCAGGAUGAAGGCCUUCGGUUGUAACUAGCUUU
rnacentral:rRNA from 1 species